rnacentral:misc_RNA from 1 species
AAUUACAAAAACAACAUAAUAAAUUAACAAUCAAUUUAUUAAAAGAAAGGAAAAAUAUAAAAAUAUUAAAAUGGCGGGACGUCAAGGCUCUGAGCUCUCGCUUGCAAUCUAUUUGGAACCCUAAUGGCAUGAAAUAGUUGGGAGUUAGGGAACAAUUACUACCUAGUUAAAUUCUUGACCGAGGAGGAGUUCUGUAGAGUCUUACUUGAUGGUCCAUGGACACCUUUGGGUAGUUAUUUUUUGGUUCAACCCUGGUAACUAGAGUUCAACGCGUUUGAGAAGUCUAUCAAUUUAGUGGUGGAUUGGAUUCGGUUGCCAGGGCUUACUUUAUAUUUGUAUAACAAAUAGGUUCUUAGAGUAGUGGGAGAUGUUGUUAGGAGUAUGGUGAAGGU